rnacentral:rRNA from 1 species
UACGUAGGGGGCGAGCGUUGUCCGGAUUUAUUGGGCGUAAAGAGCGUGUAGGCGGCUUGGUAGGUCUGCUGUGAAAACUCGGGGGCUCAACCCCGAGACGUCGGUGGAAACCACCUGGCUAGAGUCCGGAAGAGGAGAGUGGAAUUCCUGGUGUAGCGGUGAAAUGCGCAGAUAUCAGGAGGAACACCAGCGGCGAAGGCGGCGCUCUGGGCCGGAACUGACGCUGAGGAGCGAAAGCGUGGGAGCAAACAGG